UCCCAAACCCUAAUUAUACUCACUCAUCUUCUCUUACUCUGAUCCACACACACGCUGAAUCCAACCCCUCAUUCACUCAGCUAGACCCACACACAACACACACACUAAACACAAACCUAACCUAGUAGCUGAAAAAGGAAGAAAGAAGAAAAAAAGGGGGGAUCUGGGAAGGGGGCCCGAGGGAGAAGAAAAGGAUGAGAGGAGAUGCGCGUCGGAUCUGUUGCCGCCGGUCCGCCCAUCGCCAAACCACGUCGCCGUCCGUGAAGCUGUCUCCGUCGCCGCUGCCGGAGGUCACCAUCGGAGCCGCCGCUCCACUUCUGUCAUUCUUCUUUUUACAGUUGUUGCUGAGCCAAUGAAGCUCUUGGCCGCUGUCGAAGCUGCUGCCGGUUAAGUUUGGGGUGGCUGAUGCGUCGUUCUUUUAUUCCAGUUAGUGUCCCUACCCUGGAAUCCUCGCCUUUGGUUUUCUGUUGUGUGUUUUGUGGUUUCCACGAUAUUGAUGUUUUAGGAAUUAGAAACUGAGGUCGCACGUCACGUUUGAGGAAGCAAGCAGAGCUGAGGUUUCAGUUGUCAUUGAUUUCGGGUUGAGAGAAAAGGAAUUUCUUGAGGCAUUUGGAUUGUGGUUUGAAUGUGUCAAGGUCUGGGACUCAAAGUGGAACGAAAGAGCAUACUUCAGCACAAGAAAAGUAAAACUCGACCACGAGUGUCUUUCCAUGGCUGUCCUUGUACAGGAAGUGAUAAAUGCGGACUAUGCUUUUGUCAUCCACACAACCAAUCCGUCCUCUGGAGAUGCAUUAGAAAUAUAUGCUGAGGUAAAAGAAAAUCAGAGUAAACAUGGGAAAUUACCUGUACCAGUACUACAUCUGUUGCAUGAAUUUUUUGUUAUUUUGCUGAUGGUUUUGGGCUUCUCUAAAUCUUGGGAUAUCCUAGCAAACCUAUUGGCCUGUUCAUUAGAUGGCCAAUUAUUUUUUGAUCUGAUUCCAAUGGUGAAAACCUAGAAGGUUAUGCUGGAACUGGCCUCCGACAGACUCUCUAUAUUGUUUAUGCAAAGGGGGAAGGCCUUCUAUGACUUCCAGUUCAACAACACAAGGCUCGUAAAAUCCCCAAGUCUUAUGUACGAUCCAAGGGAAGGAAGUUUGACACGGCUAGAGAAAGGAGGAACAACAAAGGACUUAAGGUUUAAGUGAAUCAAAGAUAUAGUCUAUGAAUGUGAGUCGCUUUUCCUUUUCCAACUGGAACACAAGUAGUCGACUUGACAAAGGAGCACACUCAGCACUCUCCAACACAAACUAUGAUCCUUGGACAUACUUCUCCAACCAACCAGGCUGCGCUUUCUGCUGAAGGCCAGGUAGCCCCCGACUCUGAUUCUCUCUCUCGAGUUACUGAAACCACUACUUCUGAUUCUCCUCCAUCCAGAGUCUUGGAGAACUUUCCUUCUCCUCUGGGAUCAUCCAGUCCUCCUCAAUAAGCUGAAUUUCAAACUCCCCUUGAUCAAGGAUCUGGAGGUUUGGGCGUUUCUUCCGAACCUACAAGCGCCACUUUGGCUAGUCUGAUCUCCAUUCUAAAUCAAGCUAUCCAAGAAGAUGAAGUACCUAUUCCUGUCCCGAUACUUCCCAAACCUUCUACAUCUGGUCCUUCACUUGAGUUGAAUGUUGACACUUGAGAACAACUUUUAUCACUCCUCAAGCUGUUGAACCAUUCAUCUACUAAUUGGAUCAAUGAUGUAGCUUUCAACAAGCUUUUGUCUGACCUUUUGAACUCUACCUUUGAACUACCGGCUCCUACUCCACAUUUUGCCAUAGUCCGUCAAUUCAAACAAAUUGCCAACAACCGCGUAGCUAUCCAGAACAAACUUCAAGAAAUCGAAAGCGAGGAAGCUAAGAUCGAAGCCGAGGUAAAAGGUUACACUGCAACCCUCCAACCAAUCAAAGCCUCCUGUGGUAAAUUCGAUUUGAGAAUCUCUCAGGCUAUUUCUGUUCAAGUUCAUUAUGAUAAGGAAGAGAUAAAAAUUGAAGCAGAAUUAACCCAGAUCAAUGAAAAACUUGCCAAAAUACGAAAGAGAAGAGCUGAUAUAGCUACACCUCUGGCUACUGCCCAGCAAGAACAACAACAACUCAUUCAAGAGAUUAUUUCUAUUGAGACCAAAUAAGAAGAAUGUGAGAAAAAACUUGACAAUGUCCAAUACAAAAAAUUUAAGCAUGCUGAGGCACUUUCAGUUCUGGACAAUGAAAGGGCAAAGCUACGCUCAGACUUGGCAAAACUCAUGGCACAUCAUAUUUCUUCUCCUUAAAUUCCAGUAUUUGUAAUGAUUUCCCUUUCUCUUAGACUUAUGCAAGUUAAUUUUGAUUCAAAC